rnacentral:tRNA from 1 species
GUCGGGGUGGUGUAGCCUGGUUAGCACACGGGACUGUGGAUCCCGUAGCCCGGGUUCAAAUCCCGGCCCCGACC